AGGGGGGGAGCUCAAAUGGCUUGAGCGCCGGGCUCCAAAACCGGAGGUUGUGGGUUCGACCCCCUCCGCCCCUGCCA
rnacentral:tRNA from 1 species